UGUAGUUAGCUACAGCGUCCCAGAGUGGGUCACGAUGCACAAAACGCUCCGUGCAUCGUGACACCAGAGCCCAAGCAAGCCCCAAGUGGGGCCUCUGUCGGCC